rnacentral:rRNA from 1 species
UACGUAGGUGACGAGCGUUAUCCGGAAUUACUGGGCGUAAAGCGCACGCAAGCGGUCCGACAAGUCUGGCGUGAAAUCUCCUGGCUUAACCAGGAGCGGUCGCUGGAAACUGUGGGGCUUGAGGCGAUGAGAGGGGUGCAGAAUUCCCGGUGUAGUGGUGGAAUGCGUAGAGAUCGGGAAGAACAUCGGUGGCGAAAGCGCUCUACUGGGCCAUAACUGACACUCAGGGACGAAAGCUAGGGGAGCGAAUGGG